rnacentral:lncRNA from 1 species
CUAGAGUGGAAUUUUCCAGAGGCUACAUGAUGAGUGACGUCACGACAGAUUGAGUACAGAGCCAACUAUGAGAAUCCAGCUGCCUUCUAUUAAAGUGAGGCAAUGAGGGUUCAGAAUGAAGUUCCCCAUAGGAUGGAAUAAAGAAUGACUUGCAGGCAAGAGAUAAAGAGAGGGUUUCUGCCAUUUCAGGAGAAUUUCCUACAUGAUC